rnacentral:rRNA from 1 species
CCUACGGGUGGCAGCAGUGAGGAAUAUUGGUCAAUGGACGAGAGUCUGAACCAGCAAAGUAGCGUGAAGGAUGACUGCCCUAUGGGUUGUAAACUUCUUUUAUAAAGGAAUAAAACGAGGCACGUGUGCCUUUUUGCAUGUACUUUAUGAAUACGGAUCGGCUAACGCCGUGCCAGCAGCCGCGGUAAUACGGAGGAUCUGAGCGUUAUCCGGAUUUAUUGGGUUUAAAGGGAGCGUAGAUGGGUUGUUAAGUCAGUUGUGAAAGUUUGCGGCUCAACCGUAAAAUUGCAAUUGAUACUGGCAGUCUUGAGUACAGUUGAGGUAGGCGGAAUUCGUGGUGUAGCGGUGAAAUGCUUAGAUAUCACGAAGAACCCCGAUUGCGAAGGCAGCUUACUAAACUAUAACUGACGUUGAUGCUCGAAAGCGUGGGUAGCAAACAGGAUUAGAUACCCCUGUAGUC